rnacentral:rRNA from 1 species
GACGAACGCUGGCGGCGUGCUUAACACAUGCAAGUCGAACGGAAAGGCCCUGCUUUUGUGGGGUGCUCGAGUGGCGAACGGGUGAGUAACAAGUGAGUAACCUGCCCUUGACUUUGGGAUAACUUCAGGAAACUGGGGCUAAUACCGGAUAGGAGCUCCUGCUGCAUGGUGGGGGUUGGAAAGUUUCGGCGGUUGGGGAUGGACUCGGGGCUUAUCAGCUUGUUGGUGGGGUAGUGGCUUACCAAGGCUUUGACGGGUAGCCGGCCUGAGGGGGUGACCGGCCACAUUGGGAUGAGGUAACGCCCAGGACCCCAACGGGGGGCAGAGGGGGGGAAUAUGGCACAAGGGGCGGAAGCCGAAGGCAGCAACGCGGCGGGCGGGAUGACGGCUUUCGGUUUGUAAACCGCUUUCGCCUGUGACGAAGCGGUAGUGACGGUAAUGGGUAAAGAAGCACCGGCUAACUACGUG